rnacentral:rRNA from 1 species
AUUGAACGCUGGCGGCAUGCUUUACACAUGCAAGUCGAACGGUAACAGGUUAAGCUGACGAGUGGCGAACGGGUGAGUAAUGCAUCGGAACGUGCCCGGGCGUGGGGGAUAACGCAGCGAAAGUUUCGCUAAUACCGCAUACGGUCUGAGGAUGAAAGCGGGGGCCCGUAAGGCCUCGCGCGAUCGGAGCGGUGCAUGUCGGAUUAGGUAGUUGGUGGGGUAAAGGCUCACCAAGCCAACGAUAUGUAGCUGGUCUGAGAGGACGACCAGCCACACUGGGACUGAGACACGGCCCAGACUCCUACGGGAGGCAGCAGUGGGGAAUUUUGGACAAUGGGCGAAAGCCUGAUCCAGCAAUGCCGCGUGCAGGAAGAAGGCCUUCGGGUUGUAAACUGCUUUUGUACGGAGCGAAAAGGUCUCCUCUAAUACAGGGGGCUCAUGACGGUACCGUAAGAAUAAGCACCGGCUAACUACGUGCCAGCCGCCGCGGUAA